rnacentral:rRNA from 1 species
GCGUGGAUGAAGAAGGCCCUAGGGUUGUAAAAUCCUUUCAGCGGGGAAGAUAAUGACGGUACCCGCAGAAGAAGCCCCGGCUAAUUUCGUGCCAGCAGCCGCGGUAAUACGAAAGGGGCUAGCGUUGUUCGGAAUUACUGGGCGUAAAGCGCACGUAGGCGGCCUUGUAAGUUGGGGGUGAAAUCCCGGGGCUCAACCCCGGAAUUGCCUUCAAAACUACAAAGCUGGAGGAUGCGAGAGGUGAGCGGAAUUCCGAGUGUAGAGGUGAAAUUCGU